rnacentral:rRNA from 1 species
CCUACGGGAGGCAGCAGUAGGGAAUAUUGCUCAAUGGGGGAAACCCUGAAGCAGCAACGCCGCGUGGAGGAUGAAGGUUUUCGGAUUGUAAACUCCUUUUGUUAGAGAAGAUAAUGACGGUAUCUAACGAAUAAGCACCGGCUAACUCCGUGCCAGCAGCCGCGGUAAUACGGAGGGUGCAAGCGUGACUCGGAAUCACUGGGCGGAAAGAGCGCGUAGGCGGGAGAGCAAGUCAGAUGUGAAAUCCUAUGGCUUAACCAUAGAACUGCAUGUGAAACUGUUAUUCUAGAGUAUGGGAGAGGUAGGUGGAAUUCUUGGUGUAGGGGUAAAAUCCGUAGAGAUCAAGAGGAAUACUCAUUGCGAAGGCGACCUGCUAGAACAUAACUGACGCUGAUGCGCGAAAGCGUGGGGAGCAAACAGGAUUAGAUACCCUAGUAGUC